UGAACUGUUCCUUUAAGAGCAGAGACUGUAGUUGUCUCACAUAUUUAGAGUUCAUUCUUCAGAAACCCCCGAGUGUGUUUAUAUAUAGAAUAACUGUGGUUUCUUCUCACAGGUGGCAUCUGACAUGACAUUCCAGCUUCAUAUCUGCUCUGACACUCCCACAUUCCCAUAACUCUCUCCUCUGGACCUCCACGACCGGAGACAGCAGAUCCGAUCUUCUCUGUAGACUGAUUCUGGUUUCUGCUUCCAGAUCCUGCUGAAUCACUGAGUCUGGAUCUGGAAGAUCGUGAGUCAGACGCUCCAAAAUAGAGUCAGAAAUACUUCAUGCACGCCUGAGGAGGAACGUCUUGAGGAAGGAACGGCCUCGACUCGAGCAAGACAGACGAGUGCUGCAAAACUCAACAUCAGCCUCCUGCUGCCGGAUCCACGGAUCUUGAAAUACUCCGUCAUAAUAAGACAUAAAAUACACUAGCGUCUGGGGUCAGUAAGAGUUUAAAUCAAUACUUUUAUUCAUCAAGGCUGCAUUAAAUUGAUCAAAAGUGACAGUUAGGACAUUUAUAAUGUAACAAAAGAUUUCUAUUUCAAAUUCAUGAAAGUUCUUUUAAACUUUCUGUUCAUCAAAGAAUCGUGAAAAAAUGAAUCACGGAUUUCAAACUUUUAGUGUUUUAUUUUGAUUGUUUGAUUUUAACAUCUUUUUUUUUAAUACAUUAAUUUUAAUACUUUUUUUAGUUUAGUUUUUUAUUUAAUUUAUUUAUUUAAAUGUGAUAUUUUAAUGUUUAUUAUUAAUGUUUAUGUUUAUUUUGACAUGUUUUCAUUUGAAAAUUAUUCUAAUUAUUUUUACUUGACAUUUUUAUGAUUUAAUUAAUUUUAGGUAAGAGCUUUAUUUUGAUUUGUUUUCAUUUUAAAAUAAUUUCAAUUUUAAUUUUUUAUGAUUUAAUUUUUAGUGAGUGCUUUAUUUAGAUUAGCUUUCAUUUUAAAAUUAUUUUAAUUUGACAUUUUUUAUGGUUUAAUUAAUUUGUAGUAAGUAUUUUAAAAAAUUUGGUUUUAUUUUAAAACUAUUUUAAUUAGGCAUUUUUAUGAAAUAAUGCAUAAUUCUAGUCAGUUUUAUAUUGUUUUUCUUUUUAAUUAUUUAUUG
ensembl:lncRNA